rnacentral:piRNA from 1 species
UAACCCAAUGAGCCAGGAUCUCAGUGC